rnacentral:rRNA from 1 species
AUUGAACGCUGGCGGCAGGCCUAACACAUGCCAGUCGAGCGGAUGAAGGGAGCUUGCUCCUGUAUUCAGCGGCGGACUGGUGUGUAAUGCCUUGGAUUCUGCCUGGUAGUGGUUGAUAACGUCCGUAAACGGGCGCUAAUACCGCAUACGUCCUGAGGGAGAAAGUUGGGGAUCUUCGGACCUCACGCUAUCAUAUGAGCCUAGGUCGUAUUAGCUAGUUGUGGGGGUAAAGGCCUACCAAGGCGACGAUCCGUAACUGGUCUGAGAGGAUGAUCAGUCACACUGGAAAUGAGACACGGACCAGACUCCUACGGGAGGCAGCAGAGGGGAAUAUUGGAAAAUGGGGGAAAGCAUGAUCCAGCCAUGCCGCGUGUGUGAAGAAGGUCUUAGGAUUGUAAAGCACUUUAAGUUGGGAGGAAGGGCAGUAAGUUAAUACCUUGCUGUAUUGACGUUACCAAAAGAAUAAGCACCGGCUAACUACGUG